rnacentral:tRNA from 1 species
UGGCUGAAUAAAGCAUCUGCCUGCAGUACAGGAGACCCAGGUUCAAUUCCUGG